GCGAUUUUUGUUAGUUAAUGCAUCCUGUUUACUAUUUUCAUUUUCAAAGAAAUUAUAAUCCAAAUUAUAAUGAAUUUUUUUCUUUAAACUAACAUUAUCAAUUCCAGAUGAAGAAUGUUGAUUAUCAUUGGCAUCAAUAUUUUUGGCUAGAUCACCUUUUACAUUUUGUAAAGUUAAAUUUAUGGUUUCACUUACAACUUUUGUAAUCAAUUCAUUUAAAGAUUUAGUGUUAUAAACAAUUUCAUUUUGAAAAAUGUUGACUUUCUUUUGACGAGGUUUAAAACGAAAAUCAUCAGAAUGGGCAUUUUCAUCAAAAGAAAAAUUUGUAGGAUCUGCAUCGUACCUUUUUUCCGGAUGUUCUACAUUGAGAGUUCUUCUUGUUGAACGAUACCUUUCCGUUGUUGGUGUGGUAGUUUGAUGACAUUCCGCGAUACGUUUGGAUAUUGCUCCGUGGUUGUUGGCACGAUUUUCCGAACAUCUAUUAGCAGCUUGCUCCUCAUUGUUCGGUAGUUCCGUUGAUUGAAGUAGGAUUGGAGUUGGAGACAAGCCUUGUGCACCUUCGACGGUUCCCUCCACGUCUUUUUUCGUGCUACGUAGAUUAUAGUCUUUUCUACCCUCCAUUAUUGCCCCAGUGUUGGGCGCCAAGAUGUGCUGAGACGGGGGAAUUCUCCAAUAAAUUAGGGUAGAGUUUGAGACUUUUAUUCUUUGAACAGCUGUAAGGUGACCGAACCAAUGGUUUUCUUUAAUGUUAAACAAUAAAUAUAGCCAAAAGAUUCUGCAGGGCUCAUCCAAUUAACUAUUCAAAAAGUAUCCACAUAAACUCUCUUUAUUAACUCUGGGAAACGAAUGAAACGCAUAUCUCAUGAAAA